AAAAGGACCGUGAAGGCUGACUGCGGCCUUUACAUGGGAAACUGAAGUAAUGUACUGAAGGUUAAAGAAAACUAUACCUGGAUAAGGUACAAAUAGCAAGGUUUUUUCUCCGAUUUGUUGAUGCUAUUGUAGUAGAACCUAAAGGUUUGAGACAGAUGUAGAUCUGAGUAGCGUAACGUAUGAGCGGAGAGUGAGUUCACGAAUGUAAAUUGUUGUCUGCCCGAGUUUCCUCAAACAGGAAUUAAAGUAAAAUAAAUACUAUACCUGGAAUAAAGGACAAGAAUCAGGUUUUUUAAAUAUAGAAACGAGCAGAACGGUUGGUGCAAGCGUAGAAUUGAACCUGGAUUUUUUUAAGGAUAAGAACCCGGUUUUUAUUGCAAUUAAGCCGUAAUAUGGCAAAGUGUGAUCUGUGGAGAUCAAAAGAGAAUAUUUAGCGGGGCUGAGAUUAAUUUGUACGUUUAAGGCAUGGUAUAACAUUGUGUGAUAAGUCAUUUAGCUGCAGGGAAGCUGCAUAUUAUACAGAAUAAAACAGUGAGUACCAUAAAAACCCACUAGGUGGCGAUGACAGCCCAAUAAACUAGGUCUGUGAACUGGUACAUAAAAUAUAUGGAAAAGUAUGAAUGAACGUCAUGUGAUACAUAUGUCAUGCAUAAUAUGGUGAAAACUGGCAAGCCUUUCUUUUCCCAUACAAUAAACAGCAUAGCCUCUUAUAGCAGCAUGAGUUUGGAGCAAAAUAUAUAUACUCCUAGCAACAAAUAACGAUUUUGGAUUUAAGACCGUGAGUGGGUGAGGGGGGGGGGUGUAAGACCCCCCAGACGGGUGUAUGAAAGAGACCGAGUAGAUGCUGGCGUGAGGGGAACGUGGUUAGUCCCCGGUAAGAUUCCCCUGUCAUUAGUGUUCCGGCCCCCCGCUGAACCACAGAGCGAUGUGGAGGGGACCGGAAUUAAAGGACUCACGGUUGGGAAGCAGGACCGCCGAACGCACGGAGGGUUCUGCCGGGCACUGGGGAUACAGCAGCACUGGAGAUACAGCAGGACCGCCGGUAGCACUGAGGGUUCUGCCGGGCACUGGAAGUGCAGCAGGACCGCCGGUAGCACGGAGGAUUCAGCCGUGCAGCUGAUACACGAGACGCCCGGACCGGAAAUGACGUAAACGUAAAGACUCGCGAACCGGAAGUAGAAUAGGGAUCACUUGAACUCGAACGUCAGAGGUGAGUAGGGGCUGGGUGUUUAAGUAGGGGACUUACUCCUCCC